UCAUGGAACUUCCUGUUAAAUACUAUGAGUAGAAAUAGUCACCUCACUGUUGCAGCAGGAGAAACAGAGACCAUGAUAAAUAUGAAGAAUCUCCUGUAUUUAAUAUCUGUGUUGUCUUUGUUUCAGUGUGUGACAUGUCAGAUCUCCCUGACACAGCCUGGUACUGUCACUGUGAAGCCAUCAGAGGUUCUUCAGUUGACCUGUAAAGUGACCGGAGCCUCCCUCACUGACGGCUCUAAAGUAUAUGCAGUUGACUGGGUCCGUCAGCCUGUGGGGAAAGGGCUGGAGUGGCUGGGAAGGAUAAAGUAUGGUGCUGGCACAGACUAUGCCCAGUCUUUGCAGGGACGCAUCACAGUAUCAAGAGACACAAAUAAAGGAGAAGUUUAUUUAAAACUCACUGGAAUGAAACCAGAGGAAACUGCUGUAUAUUACUGUACUGGAGAAGCACAGUGGGACAUAUAUUAUGAAAACAUGUAUAAAAACAUGUCCUGAUAGCCAUAGUCAUUAUUACACAAAGCAACAGUUAAAAAAAACUAUGUUGCAUUGUUAAUUUGUUAAAAUAUAUGAAAUUGGUUAUAUAAAUAACAAUCACUUCCCUAUUUAGCCAAACACUGUGAGAAUUUAUUAAAAGGUAAAGGAAUAUGCACCAGGUCCACCUCUCAUUUUGCAGUAAAGUUGGCCUAUACUUACCCCCUAAUUUGCCCAUCUUUAUUUAGCAAAGAAAAAAAAUGAAGCUUAGUCCUAAGCAGUUGGUGAAAGUGUUUUGUCCACAAAUAGUAUUUUGAAUGGACAAUAGUAGAUUUUAAAUGCUUUUAAAGUGUGGUUAGUGCCCUACAUGAAUAAUUUCUA